rnacentral:rRNA from 1 species
UACGGGGGGGGCAAGCGUUGGUCGGAAUUACUGGGCGUAAAGGGCGCGUAGGCGGCCUGCUAAGUCGGAUGUGAAAUCCCUCGGCUCAACCGAGGAACUGCAUCCGAUACUGGCGGGCUUGAAUCCGGGAGAGGGAUGUGGAAUUCCAGGUGUAGCGGUGAAAUGCGUAGAGAUCAGGAAGAACACCAGUGGCGAAGGCGCUCUGCUAGGCCGUAACUGACACUGAGGGACGAAAGAUAGGGGAGCGAAUGGG